UGACUGACUUGAAUGGAACUCCCAGAGGCC
rnacentral:piRNA from 1 species